CGGGGGAGGCCGGAUCCUGGGCUGUGUCCCGGCGCCCUGUGCUCCGGGAUCUGCGCUGUUGGAUUCACGCUCCCGCCCCGCAGCCCCCU
rnacentral:pre_miRNA from 1 species